rnacentral:rRNA from 1 species
UAGGGAAUCUUCGGCAAUGGGGGCAACCCUGACCGAGCAACGCCGCGUGAGUGAAGAAGGUUUUCGGAUCGUAAAGCUCUGUUGUAAGUCAAGAACGAGUGUGAGAGUGGAAAGUUCACACUGUGACGGUAGCUUACCAGAAAGGGACGGCUAACUACGUGCCAGCAGCCGCGGUAAUACGUAGGUCCCGAGCGUUGUCCGGAUUUAUUGGGCGUAAAGCGAGCGCAGGCGGUUUGAUAAGUCUGAAGUUAAAGGCUGUGGCUCAACCAUAGUUCGCUUUGGAAACUGUCAAACUUGAGUGCAGAAGGGGAGAGUGGAAUUCCAUGUGUAGCGGUGAAAUGCGUAGAUAUAUGGAGGAACACCGGUGGCGAAAGCGGCUCUCUGGUCUGUAACUGACGCUGAGGCUCGAAAGCGUGGGGAGCGAACAGGAUUAGGUACCCUGGUAGUCCACGCCGUAAACGAUGAGUGCUAGGUGUUGGAUCCUUUCCGGGAUUCAGUGCCGCAGCUAACGCAUUAAGCACUCCGCCUGGGGAGUACGACCGCAAGGUUG